rnacentral:rRNA from 1 species
UACGAAGGGGGCUAGCGUUGCUCGGAAUUACUGGGCGUAAAGGGCGCGUAGGCGGAUGUUUAAGUCAGUGGUGAAAGCCCAGGGCUCAACCUUGGAACUGCCAUUGAUACUGGACAUCUUGAGUGCGGGAGAGGUGAGUGGAACGCCGAGUGUAGAGGUGAAAUUCGUAGAUAUUGGGAAGAACACCGAUGGCGAAGGCA